GGGUUGUGAGGUUAAGCGACUAAGCGUACACGGUGGAUGCCCUGGCAGUCAGAGGCGAUGAAGGACGUGCUAAUCUGCGAUAAGCGUCGGUAAGGUGAUAUGAACCGUUAUAACCGGCGAUUUCCGAAUGGGGAAACCCAGUGUGAUUCGUCACACUAUCAUUAACUGAAUCCAUAGGUUAAUGAGGCGAACCGGGGGAACUGAAACAUCUAAGUACCCCGAGGAAAAGAAAUCAACCGAGAUUCCCCCAGUAGCGGCGAGCGAACGGGGAGCAGCCCAGAGCCUGAAUCAGUGUGUGUGUUAGUGGAAGCGUCUGGAAAGGCGCGCGAUACAGGGUGACAGCCCCGUACACAAAAAUGCACAUGCUGUGAGCUCGAUGAGUAGGGCGGGACACGUGGUAUCCUGUCUGAAUAUGGGGGGACCAUCCUCCAAGGCUAAAUACUCCUGACUGACCGAUAGUGAACCAGUACCGUGAGGGAAAGGCGAAAAGAACCCCGGCGAGGGGAGUGAAAAAGAACCUGAAACCGUGUACGUACAAGCAGUGGGAGCACGCUUAGGCGUGUGACUGCGUACCUUUUGUAUAAUGGGUCAGCGACUUAUAUUCUGUAGCAAGGUUAACCGAAUAGGGGAGCCGAAGGGAAACCGAGUCUUAACUGGGCGUUAAGUUGCAGGGUAUAGACCCGAAACCCGGUGAUCUAGCCAUGGGCAGGUUGAAGGUUGGGUAACACUAACUGGAGGACCGAACCGACUAAUGUUGAAAAAUUAGCGGAUGACUUGUGGCUGGGGGUGAAAGGCCAAUCAAACCGGGAGAUAGCUGGUUCUCCCCGAAAGCUAUUUAGGUAGCGCCUCGUGAAUUCAUCUCCGGGGGUAGAGCACUGUUUCGGCAAGGGGGUCAUCCCGACUUACCAACCCGAUGCAAACUGCGAAUACCGGAGAAUGUUAUCACGGGAGACACACGGCGGGUGCUAACGUCCGUCGUGAAGAGGGAAACAACCCAGACCGCCAGCUAAGGUCCCAAAGUCAUGGUUAAGUGGGAAACGAUGUGGGAAGGCCCAGACAGCCAGGAUGUUGGCUUAGAAGCAGCCAUCAUUUAAAGAAAGCGUAAUAGCUCACUGGUCGAGUCGGCCUGCGCGGAAGAUGUAACGGGGCUAAACCAUGCACCGAAGCUGCGGCAGCGACGCUUAUGCGUUGUUGGGUAGGGGAGCGUUCUGUAAGCCUGUGAAGGUGUGCUGUGAGGCAUGCUGGAGGUAUCAGAAGUGCGAAUGCUGACAUAAGUAACGAUAAAGCGGGUGAAAAGCCCGCUCGCCGGAAGACCAAGGGUUCCUGUCCAACGUUAAUCGGGGCAGGGUGAGUCGACCCCUAAGGCGAGGCCGAAAGGCGUAGUCGAUGGGAAACAGGUUAAUAUUCCUGUACUUGGUGUUACUGCGAAGGGGGGACGGAGAAGGCUAUGUUGGCCGGGCGACGGUUGUCCCGGUUUAAGCGUGUAGGCUGGUUUUCCAGGCAAAUCCGGAAAAUCAAGGCUGAGGCGUGAUGACGAGGCACUACGGUGCUGAAGCAACAAAUGCCCUGCUUCCAGGAAAAGCCUCUAAGCAUCAGGUAACAUCAAAUCGUACCCCAAACCGACACAGGUGGUCAGGUAGAGAAUACCAAGGCGCUUGAGAGAACUCGGGUGAAGGAACUAGGCAAAAUGGUGCCGUAACUUCGGGAGAAGGCACGCUGAUAUGUAGGUGAAGUCCCUCGCGGAUGGAGCUGAAAUCAGUCGAAGAUACCAGCUGGCUGCAACUGUUUAUUAAAAACACAGCACUGUGCAAACACGAAAGUGGACGUAUACGGUGUGACGCCUGCCCGGUGCCGGAAGGUUAAUUGAUGGGGUCAGCGCAAGCGAAGCUCUUGAUCGAAGCCCCGGUAAACGGCGGCCGUAACUAUAACGGUCCUAAGGUAGCGAAAUUCCUUGUCGGGUAAGUUCCGACCUGCACGAAUGGCGUAAUGAUGGCCAGGCUGUCUCCACCCGAGACUCAGUGAAAUUGAACUCGCUGUGAAGAUGCAGUGUACCCGCGGCAAGACGGAAAGACCCCGUGAACCUUUACUAUAGCUUGACACUGAACAUUGAGCCUUGAUGUGUAGGAUAGGUGGGAGGCUUAGAAGUGUGGACGCCAGUCUGCAUGGAGCCGACCUUGAAAUACCACCCUUUAAUGUUUGAUGUUCUAACGUUGACCCGUAAUCCGGGUUGCGGACAGUGUCUGGUGGGUAGUUUGACUGGGGCGGUCUCCUCCUAAAGAGUAACGGAGGAGCACGAAGGUUGGCUAAUCCUGGUCGGACAUCAGGAGGUUAGUGCAAUGGCAUAAGCCAGCUUGACUGCGAGCGUGACGGCGCGAGCAGGUGCGAAAGCAGGUCAUAGUGAUCCGGUGGUUCUGAAUGGAAGGGCCAUCGCUCAACGGAUAAAAGGUACUCCGGGGAUAACAGGCUGAUACCGCCCAAGAGUUCAUAUCGACGGCGGUGUUUGGCACCUCGAUGUCGGCUCAUCACAUCCUGGGGCUGAAGUAGGUCCCAAGGGUAUGGCUGUUCGCCAUUUAAAGUGGUACGCGAGCUGGGUUUAGAACGUCGUGAGACAGUUCGGUCCCUAUCUGCCGUGGGCGCUGGAGAACUGAGGGGGGCUGCUCCUAGUACGAGAGGACCGGAGUGGACGCAUCACUGGUGUUCGGGUUGUCAUGCCAAUGGCACUGCCCGGUAGCUAAAUGCGGAAGAGAUAAGUGCUGAAAGCAUCUAAGCACGAAACUUGCCCCGAGAUGAGUUCUCCCUGACCCUUUAAGGGUCCUGAAGGAACGUUGAAGACGACGACGUUGAUAGGCCGGGUGUGUAAGCGCAGCGAUGCGUUGAGCUAACCGGUACUAAUGAACCGUGAGGCUUAACCUUACAACGCCGAAGCUGUU
rnacentral:rRNA from 2 species